AGUGAACGCUGGCGGUAGGCCUAACACAUGCAAGUCGAACGGCAGCACAGUAAGAGCUUGCUCUUACGGGUGGCGAGUGGCGGACGGGUGAGGAAUACAUCGGAAUCUACUUUUUCGUGGGGGAUAACGUAGGGAAACUUACGCUAAUACCGCAUACGACCUACGGGUGAAAGCAGGGGAUCUUCGGACCUUGCGCGAUUGAAUGGGCCGAUGUCGGAUUAGCUAGUUGGCGGGGUAAAGGCCCACCAAGGCGACGAUCCGUAGCUGGUCUGAGAGGAUGAUCAGCCACACUGGAACUGAGACACGGUCCAGACUCCUACGGGAGGCAGCAGUGGGGAAUAUUGGACAAUGGGCGCAAGCCUGAUCCAGCCAUACCGCGUGGGUGAAGAAGGCCUUCGGGUUGUAAAGCCCUUUUGUUGGGAAAGAAAAGCAGCAGGUUAAUACCCCGCUGCUCUGACGGUACCCAAAGAAUAAGCACCGGCUAACUUCGUG
rnacentral:rRNA from 1 species